AAAACCCAAAACCCUCCUUUCUACUCUCUCAUUCGAUUAAAAACCAAAGGAAAAAAAAAAAAAAAACAGACAUUCAUCUUCUUCCUCAAACCCCUCUUUUCCCAAAUCUCUUCUCAGAUUCUUUAUGGAAGUCGAAGGAAAAACCAACAAAUUUCGAUUUACCCUUGCCUCUUUUGAUUACGACUAUGGCGACCAAUCUUUGAAGGCUUUCGAACCUCAGCAACUACAGCCUUUGGUUCUUUCUUCUUUUCCGUGAGUGAACACAUCAAUAAAAUUACUUUGGGUAUCUUGUUUCCAAUAUUUUCUUGUGAAAUCUAGCAAUUAAAAACACAUUUUGGUAUUCAUCAAUCGUCGCUUCACCUUGGAGACGACAUCAUCGAGGAACCCUUCUAGUGAUUGCGGAGUACUAGACUUAGCUUCUUGAAGCGUUCUUUUUGUUUGUCUACAGAUCAAAACCAGACGGGAAUAAUGGAUUAGCGAAGGUGAUUAGUGGUUCCAAGGAAGUAUAUUGAGCUGAGCACUUAGGAAUUUAUAGUUUUGUAUUAGGAUUUUGGAUAAAUGUAAAUUUGAUUUGGUUAUGUUGGUUAUAUUGAACUUGUAGAAAAUUGUAUGAUUAUCCUUUGCUUUAGUUUAAUGUUUGUUUUAAGAUAUAGAUGAGUUAGUUACGUUAAAGAGCUGGUGAGUCCUUUACUCAAGUUUUGGAAGUGUGAUUUCAGUUUCUUGGGAAAUGAACCCCGUGACGAUCCUGUUUACUCAGUCAACGGUAAGUCGGGUUGUUACAAUUAAACUAUAUAAAUACAUGGUUUCGUAUAUUUAGAGUUAAUAAUCAACGGUCAAUGUUUAUUUAACUAUUUUUAAUCGAAUUAGAUGAAAAUUGAUAGAACUUUAUAAUUUUAAUAUAUGGUUAAAUAAGUAAAAGUAACAAAGUAAUAAUGAUCACUAAUUGAUUUGCAUUUUAACUAUUUUGCUUUAAGUAAAGGUAAUUUUAUCAUCAAUUAAAAAAUAACUAACAACUUAAUCUAAUACUGACUCGACUGAUAGUAAUUAGUAGCCGAAUUCUACUUGAAAAAUACCCGAACUCGAUCUGUACCCGGUAAAAUCGAACCAAUUAUUAACCCAUGACAACCGGAGACCGAUUGACACUCGACACGUAUUUCAAUCGAUACCAAACUGAUGUUAACCUGAUAGCUCGAAUAACCGAUCUUCAACAAAACCGUGACUAACCGACCCGAACCGAGUGACCUGUCGCAUCCGAAAAAUAACCGAUCAAAAAUACCAUCGAACCGAAUGACAUCCGUUCGAAUCCGACCCAAUCAUCCAAAUGA